rnacentral:lncRNA from 1 species
UUUUCCUGUCUGGGCCAGGGAUCCCACCUGGGUUGAAGAGAGCAGGGACAGUGUGGUGCAGCAGGAGCCUAUUCCCAUACUGUGUCCUCACUGAGAGCUUGUUUCUCCUGGGACAUGAGAGAUGCACCACCUUCCUGCCCAGCUGGGCAAGAACAUCAGGAGAGCCAAGGGUUACAGGAGGCCUGGAGGAAGCAGUAUUUUCAGUAAUGCAAUAUGCAGCAUUGACCAGCACCUGCAGCAUACCAGGUGCAAUGCUAGGGGAUAACAGAUCAUGGAGAAAGAGCUGCAGCACCCAAGAGCUCACAGUGCAGCAGACUGGCCAGCAGACAAGUGGCUGGAGAAUGAUGUGAGAAAUUCCACAGUGAAGACAUUUGAAGGCAGCAAGACAGGGCUUUGAGUUCUGCCUAGGGGAGCUCAGAAGCCUUUGCAGAGGUGGGGAAAUUUGAGUUGGGCUUUGAAGGAUGACUAGGAGUUCACCAAUUUGAGGACACUAGAGGGGCCUGGCAGUUAGCAGCCAAAGCAAAGAGAAAGCAACACACGGUUCACCCAGAGAGGCAUCAAAGAGCAGUGGUGGAAAAUGAGGCUGGAAAGACUCCCCAGACAGUGCUGAGCCUUUGUAUUUGUGAGGGUGCUUUUGGCUGUCAGUAAACAAAUUGUCCAAUAAAGUGUAUAAACAUGCAUCAUGUCUUACCGUGUGAUAUAGUUUGGAUGGUCCCUCCAAAUCUCAUGUUGAGAUGUAAUCCUCAUGACUGCCAGAGCCUUGAAUGUGAAGACACUUAGGCCACAGUGGGAGGGAGAACCAUUAGGGCUCAGAGCCCAGGGUGUCUGGUUGAGAAGGAGGCACUGAUGUCCUUGGUUGCUCCCAGCACCUCCCUUUGAGUCCUCACUCUGUUCCUAGGAAGCAGCAGCAGAGCUGUGUCUGAGCUGCAGCCCUUGAGGUUCAGGCUGAGGAUGGAUCAGCGAUGCAGGCAGCAGGGCCAGAGCAACAGCCUCAUGGAUUCUGGCCUUUCCUGAGUACCCAGGGAGAGGCCCCUGCACUGGCAGCACUUUGCAGCAGCCUGGAGGAGUAGAGCUGGCCUUGUGCUCUGUGGAGUGCCAAGCGCAGGCCCUGAGCAGGUGUGCUGCACAGAUGACCUCAUCGAAUCCUCAAAGUGACCACCUCCUAGAGUGGACACUAUCACUACACCCACUUCACCGACGAGGCAGCUGAGGCCCCGUGAGGCUCCACACAUGGCUGAAAAGUGCAAGCAGAGGGAAGAAAGCAGGACUUCUGCAUGCGCCUGCCCCCACCCUAUGCUGCCUGGGAGGCUGGGGCUGUGUGGUGGGGGCUCCCUCCACCUCUGAGACCCCUUCCCUUGCCAGCAAGUGCUCUGAGCUUCCCACAGACAGAUAGGAGAGAGAAAUCAACUUCCAUGGUAUUCAGCUGCUGUUACUCACAGCCGAAAUGGAUCCCAAUAGACCUGAGCCCCUUACCGUUUGGAGUCCUGUAAGGUAUGGCCAAGUGCUGUUACCACACCAUCUCCCACAGGACCUGCCAACACCCACAGGAUUCCCUGGGCAUCCUCAUUGAGCAGUCCAGAGAUCUGCUGGGGGAUGGUGUGAGCCCAAAGAAGCCGAUUUCCUUCUUGAAGGGGG